UGGUGGAGUGAUUUGUCUGGUUAAUUCCGAUAAUGAACGAGACUCUAUCUUGCUAAAUAGUCGCAGUUUAUUCUGACUGUCGAGCUUCUUAGAAGGACAGGUGGUUAUAACCACACGAGAUUGAGCAAUAACA
rnacentral:rRNA from 1 species